rnacentral:rRNA from 1 species
AUACGUAGGGUGCAAGCGUUAAUCGGAAUUACUGGGCGUAAAGCGUGCGCAGGCGGUUUUGUAAGACAGUGGUGAAAUCCCCGGGCUCAACCUGGGAACUGCCAUUGUGACUGCAAGGCUGGAGUGCGGCAGAGGGGGAUGGAAUUCCGCGUGUAGCAGUGAAAUGCGUAGAUAUGCGGAGGAACACCGAUGGCGAAGGCAAUCCCCUGGGCCUGCACUGACGCUCAUGCACGAAAGCGUGGGGAGCAAACAGGAUUAGAUACCCUGGUAGUCCACGCCCUAAACGAUGUCAACUGGUUGUUGGGGAUUUAUUUUCUCAGUAGCGAAGCUAACGCGUGAAGUUGACCGCCUGGGGAGUACGGCCGCAAGGUUAAAACUCAAAGGAAUUGACGGGG